UACGUAGGGAGCAAGCGUUGUCCGGAAUCAUUGGGCGUAAAGCGCGCGUAGGCGGCCCUGUAAGUCCGUUGUGAAAGUCAAAGGCUCAACCUUUGAAAGCCGAUGGAUACUGCAGGGCUAGAGUCCAGUAGAGGAGUGUGGAAUUCCCGGUGUAGCGGUGAAAUGCGCAGAUAUCGGGAGGAACACCAGCGGCGAAGGCGGCACUCUGGGCUGGUACUGACGCUGAGGAGCGAAAGCGUGGGUAGCAAACAGG
rnacentral:rRNA from 1 species